GACGAACGCUGGCGGCGUGCUUAACACAUGCAAGUCGAACGGAAAGGCCCUGCUUGCAGGGUACUCGAGUGGCGAACGGGUGAGUAACACGUGGGUGAUCUGCCCUGCACUUCGGGAUAAGCCUGGGAAACUGGGUCUAAUACCGGAUAGGAGCCAUUUUUAGUGUGAUGGUUGGAAAGUUUUUUCGGUGUAGGAUGAGCUCGCGGCCUAUCAGCUUGUUGGUGGGGUAAUGGCCUACCAAGGCGGCGACGGGUAGCCGGCCGGGGAGGGUGGACGGCCAAUUGGGGACUGGAGACGGGCCCAACCCCCUAGGGGGGGAAGAGGGGGGAAAUUUGUCAAAAGGGGGGAAACCCUGAGGAGCGAACCCCGGGGGGGGGAGGCGGGCUUUCGGGUUGAAAACCUUUUUACGCAGGAAAAAAGGGAAGUGACGGGAACGUGCAAAGGAAGCCCCGGUAAAUUCGGU
rnacentral:rRNA from 1 species